CGGACGGGUGAGUAACGCGUGAGGAACCUGCCUUGGAGAGGGGAAUAACACUCCGAAAGGAGUGCUAAUACCGCAUGAUGCAGUUGGGUCGCAUGGCUCUGACUGCCAAAGAUUUAUCGCUCUGAGAUGGCCUCGCGUCUGAUUAGCUAGUAGGCGGGGUAACGGCCCACCUAGGCGACGAUCAGUAGCCGGACUGAGAGGUUGACCGGCCACAUUGGGACUGAGACACGGCCCAGACUCCUACGGGAGGCAGCAGUGGGGAAUAUUGGGCAAUGGGCGCAAGCCUGACCCAGCAACGCCGCGUGAAGGAAGAAGGCUUUCGGGUUGUAAACUUCUUUUGUCGGGGACGAAACAAAUGACGGUACCCGACGAAUAAGCCACGGCUAACUACGUGCCAGCAGCCGCGGUAAUACGUAGGUGGCAAGCGUUAUCCGGAUUUACUGGGUGUAAAGGGCGUGUAGGCGGGAUUGCAAGUCAGAUGUGAAAACUGGGGGCUCAACCUCCAGCCUGCAUUUGAAACU
rnacentral:rRNA from 1 species